rnacentral:lncRNA from 1 species
AACUGGCUGCCUGAGAUAUUUUCACUUAUGAGAUUGCAAGCAGAUACAUUUCUGUGGUUGUGAAGUACCAACGUCUAGGCACGCUGCCAUAAUUCAAAGACAGCUAAGAAAUGUGAAUCUCGAAAGUGUGGUCCACUGUCUGCUGGAAAUCUACAAAGGUGGGUUCAGAGAGUCACAGAAAGGACAAGUCACAGGAAACUGUGGGCAUGCAACAAUAAAUUGCACAUAAUUUAUAAUCAUUUUUGCAUGAAAUUAUUGAGUUAGUACAUGUAAGACGUACUGAACAAUGUUCACCCUUUAGCACCUCAGCAAGCCUUCGUGGUCAUGAGGAUUUGGAGUAAGGGUGUGAGGAGACAGAAGAUGAUAAGAAGAGAGAUGGAUGACCCUGAUAGGGGAAAUCAAAUACUCUAGAUGCACAGCACAGGGUUUGGAGGCUGAAGACUCCUAGGAGCAAGAAAGGAAGGAGAGAACCCAAGGAAACCCUGUCCAGGGUAGAGCGGUGGAAACGUGGCGCUAACAAAGACUUCCUGUUCGGCACAGAAUCCAGGCUGGCAGAGGCGGCUGCAGGGCUGUGGGUGUACUCAGCUGUGCAGAGCUGAUUAUAGAAGAUGAAAGGGCUUGGCAAUUCACUUCAUCUCAUGCUGAAACACUGCUGACAACUGAAAGUGAGGACAGAAGGAUUCAUUUGUUCAACUUCUGUUUUAAAAAGCAGACUUCAAAUGAUACCAUG